rnacentral:rRNA from 1 species
UACGGGGGGGACGAGGCGUUGUUCGGAUUUACUGGGCGUAAAGGGCGCGUAGGCGGACCUUCAAGUCGGAUGUGAAACCUGUUGGCUUAACUGACAGCCUGCACCCGAUACUGUUGGCCUUGAGUACGGGAGAGGAGAGCGGAAUUCCUGGUGUAGCGGUGAAAUGCGUAGAUAUCAGGAAGAACACCGGUUGCGAAGGCGGCUCUCUGGACCGAUACUGACGCUCAAGCGCGAAGGCUUGGGGAGCAAACAGGAUUAGAUACCCCGGUA